UACGUAGGGUGCAAGCGUUGUCCGGAAUUAUUGGGCGUAAAGAGCGUGUAGGCGGCCCGAUUAGUCCGCUGUGAAAGUCCAGGGCUCAACCCUGGAAUGCCGGUGGAUACUGUCGGGCUAGAGUCCGGAAGGGGCGAGUGGAAUUCCUGGUGUAGCGGUGAAAUGCGCAGAUAUCAGGAGGAACACCAAUGGCGAAGGCAGCUCGCUGGAACGGUACUGACGCUGAGACGCGAAAGCGUGGGGAGCAAACAGG
rnacentral:rRNA from 1 species